UUUUCCUUUUUCUCUACUUUUGAUGUUUCGGUGUUUUUUUUUUCACUUCUUGUUGUGUCUCAACAACAACAACGUGUAAUAAUAGAAGAGUGACAAUAAUGAAAAGAUUGAAAAAAAA
rnacentral:ribozyme from 14 species